rnacentral:lncRNA from 1 species
AGGCCGGAAAUAAAUCCCACCGAUCCGCCUUUGGGCCGGCCCACGGAGAGAUUACAUUUUUAUUUUAUUUUAUCUUUUUUUUUCAGAACACAGAAGAGUUUUGUCUGCUAUUCCCAUUAAGAAGGAACAUCAGAGUCAUACAAUGAUGCAAAAACAUGCAAGAGAAUGAUGCUUAAGCGGUCGACACUCCACAAACACUUGCUGGAGCGAG